rnacentral:lncRNA from 1 species
AAGGAAUGCAAGUCAAAGUGAACAUCUGAACUCAGAAUGUAAAGAACCGAAAGAGAUUGCACAAGAUGUAUUUGUCUGAUACUAUGAGUCUGCCUCACUUAUACUCUUGCUUCCAAACAUUUGUCAAAGUUCAACCAACCAUUGCAACCAAGCUAAAUAUUUGUCAGUCGAACAAAAGCUCACUUUUUAUGAUGCCUACUGUGUUGAGCGACUGGGCCUUUCUACAUUAAAACACAAAGAAACUCCAGUGAAUUCACCUCAAAAGUGGACACGCACAAACUCUUGUUCCUUAAGUCAGUUUCUUUGUCUCACAACAAUCGUCCUGCAAGGAGAUUUUUGCGGCAGA